UUCGCCCUUAGAGUUUGAUCCUGGCUCAGGAUGAACGCUGGCGGCGUGCUUAACACAUGCAAGUCGAACGAAGCACUUUAUUUGAUUUCCUUCGGGACUGAUUAUUUUGUGACUGAGUGGCGGACGGGUGAGUAACGCGUGGGUAACCUGCCUUGUAUAGGGGGAUAACAGUUGGAAACGGCUGCUAAUACCGCAUAAGCGCACAGCAUCGCAUGAUGCAGUGUGAAAAACUCCGGUGGUAUAAGAUGGACCCGCGUUGGAUUAGCUAGUUGGUGAGGUAACGGCCCACCAAGGCGACGAUUGGUAGCCGGACUGAGAGGUUGAACGGCCACAUUGGGACUGAGACACGGCCCAGACUCCUACGGGAGGCAGCAGUGGGGGAUAUUGCACAAUGGGGGAAACCCUGAUGCAGCGACGCCGCGUGGAGGAAGAAGGUUUUCGGAUUGUAAACUCCUGUCGUUAGGGACGAUAAUGACGGUACCUAACAAGAAAGCACCGGCUAACUACGUGCCAGCAGCCGCGGUAAAACGUAGGGUGCAAGCGUUGUCCGGAAUUACUGGGUGUAAAGGGAGCGCAGGCGGGAAGACAAGUUGGAAGUGAAAUCCAUGGGCUCAACCCAUGAACUGCUUUGCAAACUGUUUUUCUUGAGUAGUGCAGAGGUAAGCGGAAUUCCCGGUGUAGCGGUGGAAUGCGUAGAUAUCGGGAGGAACACCAGUGGCGAAGGCGGCCUACUGGGCACCAACUGACGCUGAGGCUCGAAAGUGUGGGUAGCAAACAGGAUUAGAUACCCUGGUAGUCCACACUGUAAACGAUGAUUACUAGGUGUUGGAGGAUUGACCCCUUCAGUGCCGCAGUUAACACAAUAAGUAAUCCACCUGGGGAGUACGACCGCAAGGUUGAAACUCAAAGGAAUUGACGGGGGCCCGCACAAGCAGUGGAGUAUGUGGUUUAAUUCGACGCAACGCGAAGAACCUUACCAAGUCUUGACAUCCUGCGACGCACACAGAAAUAUGUGUUUCCUUCGGGACGCAGAGACAGGUGGUGCAUGGUUGUCGUCAGCUCGUGUCGUGAGAUGUUGGGUUAAGUCCCGCAACGAGCGCAACCCUUAUGGUCAGUUACUACGCAAGAGGACUCUGGCCAGACUGCCGUUGACAAAACGGAGGAAGGUGGGGAUGACGUCAAAUCAUCAUGCCCUUUAUGACUUGGGCUACACACGUACUACAAUGGCGUUAAACAAAGAGAAGCAAGACCGCGAGGUGGAGCAAAACUCAGAAACAACGUCCCAGUUCGGACUGCAGGCUGCAACUCGCCUGCACGAAGUCGGAAUUGCUAGUAAUCGCAGAUCAGCAUGCUGCGGUGAAUACGUUCCCGGGCCUUGCACUCACCGCCCGUCA
rnacentral:rRNA from 1 species